UCUUUCCCUGUCUGUCUGACCAGACUGCAUGUGAAGCAGUGACCCUCAUCCUACAGAUCAAGAAACAGAGGGGUCCUGUGCCCUGCCAUUCUCCCAAAAGCUCCGACUCCAAGCUGGCAGCUGUCUGGAAGAAAUCACCAGGAGACCCAAGCUAUGAAAUGCUCUGCUCUCUUCUCUUUUCCUUGCUGUCCCCGGGGCUGGAGGAGCACAGGCCUCCCCAGGCACUGUGCCUCAGCCUUGCUGGCCUCCAUCUCCUUCCAAGGACUGGGCCUGGGGGGCCAGAAGCAAGAGGGCCUGCUCCUCCUAUCACAGGGUCCCUUCUCCAGAGCCAGCUCCUUCUCCUGAGCUGACUUUCUCCUCCUGGGAGCUGCUUGCUGAGACAGGAGGGUGAGAAAGAUGGCAGCCGAGGCCCCCAGGCAGGUGGGGGCUGGGAGGCAGCAGAGGAGGCUGGGUUGCUGCUGCCUCAGCUCCCUGGCCCCCUGCACUGCCGCUCUUCUGAGGUGUCUGGGGGAGGCCCAGGUGGGAGAUCUGAGGAUUGAGGACUUCUGAGCUCUCUGAGACCAGGGAGAGCCUUCCUCCCUUCAGUGGUAAAUUCUAUUAGUGUUCCCAUUUUGCAUAUGAGGACACUGAGGCCCUCAGAUGUGAAUGACUCGCCCUCACCCACACCAUGAAUGAAGGGCAGGGACAGGAUUCUAAUCAGCAUCCCUAGAUCUGCACUCCUAACCUCUGCCAGGGCUCGGUAAUCAUUUGUGGGGGUCCAUAGAGGAGAUAAACUCACUAAUUGACCUCUACUGAGUACCAGACAAAGGCUUAUACAGACCAUCUCCUUCAGUCCUGGAACAUUGCUGGGAAGUAGGGCUUGUCCAUUCUAUAGAAUCAGAGCGUCUGAGCACGGGAGAAGGGAAGGAACUCAUGGGGGGCACACAACCAAAGUGGGAGAACAAUCCAGAGAGCCUAGCAAUUGGGGCAUGGUGGAGGAGGCUCCACAGAGGAGGGGUCUGGGGUGGGAAAAUAGCUCCUGUCCUUAGCGAGCGAGCAGGGUGUGUGUGGUGCUGCCCGUGGUAAGCAGAAGGAAGUCACUGUGGGUGGCGGUGGGUUUGAGGUACCGGAGGCCUAGUGAUGUGGCCAGAAGGUGAGCUCCGCAUCUGCACGCCUGGUCAGCAGGGCCUGGGGUGGGUAGGUGGCCGAGAUUCGGAGCUCAGAGGAGCGCCAGCUGCUCUUGCCCUUUGGGCCUGGGGUGCAGGGGGCCAGGGGCUGGGACAGUGUGGGAGGAGAGACUGAGGCAGGGCUGGGAAAAGAGGGAGACAAACUGGGAAGGCGGCAAUCUGGGGAGGCAACCUGGAGUAGGCAGCUCUUGAAAGACAAGGCCUCAGGGUAUGGAAGGGGGUGGACCUGUGAGCAGAGGCUGGGGAGAUUGAGAAAGAGGUUCUGGGCAUG